UACAGAGGUCUCAAGCGUUGUUCGGAUUCAUUGGGCGUAAAGGGUGCGUAGGCGGCGCGGUAAGUCGGGUGUGAAAUCUUGGAGCUUAACUCCGAAACUGCAUUCGAUACUGCCGUGCUUGAGGACUGGAGAGGAGACUGGAAUUUACGGUGUAACGGUGAAAUGCGUAGAUAUCGUAAGGAAGACCAGUGGCGAAGGCGGGUCUCUGGACAGUUCCUGACGCUGAGGCACGAAGGCCAGGGGAGCAAACGGG
rnacentral:rRNA from 1 species